rnacentral:rRNA from 1 species
GACGAACGCUGGCGGCGGGCCUAAUACAUGCAAGUAGGACGCAGUUGCGAACGGGUGAGUAACGAGUAGGUAACUACAUAUUAGAGGGGGAUAACUAUUGGAAACGAUAGCCAAUACCGCAUCCUAGUGGAUGGACCUGCUGUGUAUUAGCUAGUAGGUAGGGUAAUGGCCUACCUGGGCAACGAUACCUAGCCGACUUGGUAGGGGGGUCGGCAAAAAUGGGACUGAGCAACGGCCCAGACUCCUACGGGAGGCAGCAGUAGGGAAUCUUCGGAAAUGGGGGUAACCCCGACCGAGCAACGCUGCGUGAGAUAAGAAGGUUUUCGGAUCGUAAAGCUCUGUUGUGAAGGAAGCGGUACUUAACCAGAAAGGGACGGCUAACUACGUGCCAGCAGCCGCGGUAAUAC